rnacentral:rRNA from 1 species
GCUCCUUGGUGAUUCAUAAUAACUAAACGAAUCGCAUGGCCUUGCGCCGGCGAUGGUUCAUUCAAAUUUCUGCCCUAUCAACUUUCGAUGGUAGGAUAGUGGCCUACCAUGGUCUCAACGGGUAACGGGGAAUUAGGGUUCUAUUCCGGAGAGGGAGCCUGAGAAACGGCUACCACAUCCAAGGAAGGCAGCAGGCGCGCAAAUUACCCAAUCCCAAUUCGGGGAGGUAGUGACAAUAAAUACUGAUACAGGGCUCUUUUGGGUCUUGUAAUUGGAAUGAGUACAAUCUAAAUCCCUUAACGAGGAACAAUUGGAGGGCAAGUCUGGUGCCAGCAGCCGCGGUAAUUCCAGCUCCAAUAGCGUAUAUUAAAGUUGUUGCCGUUAAAAAGCUCGUAGUUGAACCUUGGGCCUGGCUGAUCUGUCCUCCUAAUCGAGCGCACGGAUUCGGUCGGGCCUUUCCUUCUGGGGAGCCCGAUGUCCUUCACUGGGCGUCGUGGGGAACCAGGACUUUUACCUUGAAAAAAUUAGAGUGUUCAAAGCAGGCCUUUGCUCGAAUACAUUAGCAUGGAAUAAUAGAAUAGGACAGAGGUUCUAUUUUGUUGGUUUCUAGGACCGCUGUAAUGAUUAAUAGGGAUAGUCGGGGGCGUCCGUAUUCAAUUGUCAGAGGUGAAGUUCUUGGAUUUAUUGAAGACGAACUACUGCGAAAGCAUUCGCCAAGGAUGUUUUCAUUAAUCAGUGAACGAAAGUUAGGGGAUCGAAGACGAUCAGAUACCGUCGUAGUCUUAACCAUAAACUAUGCCGACUAGGGAUCGGACGGUGGUUUUUUUAUGCCCCGUUCGGCACCUUACGAGAAAUCAAAGUUUUUGGGCUCGGGGGGGAGUAUGGUCGCAAG